rnacentral:rRNA from 1 species
AACGCGAAGAACCUUACCCAGACUUGACAUCCCUGGAAUCCUGUAGAGAUAUGGGAGUGCUCGCAAGAGAGCCGGGAGACAGGUGCUGCAUGGCUGUCGUCAGCUCGUGUCGUGAGAUGUUGGGUUAAGUCCCGCAACGAGCGCAACCCUCGCCUUUAGUUGCCAGCAUUCAGUUGGGCACUCUAGAGGGACUGCCGGUGUCAAGCCGGAGGAAGGUGGGGAUGACGUCAAGUCCUCAUGGCCUUUAUGUCUGGGGCUACACACGUGCUACAAUGGCCGGUACAAAGAGUUGCAACGGCGCGAGCCCGAGCCAAUCUCAGAAAACCGGUCCCAGUUCGGAUCGAAGUCUGCAACUCGACUUCGUGAAGUCGGAAUCGCUAGUAAUCGCGGAUCAGAACGCCGCGGUGAAUACGUUCCCGGGCCUUGUACACACCGACUGUAC